UGACAGUCACACAAGUUAUGGACAUGACAGUCACUUAGAUUAUUGACAUUAAAGUCUCACAAUUUAUGGACUUGGCAGUCACUUAGGUUAUGGACAGUUAAGUCACACAACUUUCGGACAUUAUAGUCACACAAAUUAUGGACAUGACAGUUGCUAGAUUGUUAUUAAAGACACAUUAGCAAUAGGGAUAAAAGACACUAGUGAUGUAGUUCAUAUACACAAAUCUUGCCUAUUAAUGACACAAAAAGUCAUAUAAUCAAAUAAAAAAAAUAUUACAUUUCAGUGGCUUUACAGAAACAACCAAAGAACUUGGAGACCUUCUUAAAUGAUGUAGAGUUUACACUGAAGGAGGGGUUCUUAAAGGAUGUAGGUCAAGAUACAUCACCCACAGCCAGUAAAUAGGUGUGCUCAUCAACAGGUCAAGAUACAUCGCCCACAGCUGGUCAGGAGGUGUGCUCAUCGGCAGGUCAAGAUACAUCACCCACAGCUAGUCAAGAUGUUUGGCCAUCAGCACAUCAAGAUAUAAAAAAAACAUUCCCUACAGCCAGUCAAGAGGUUUGCUCAUCAGAACGUCAAGAUACAUCACACACAGCCAGUCAGGAGGUGAACCUUAGGAAAUACACUGCAACAUUAAGCAAGAAGCAUGGACGAAGAUGUCCACACUAUAUCAGAUGAGGAUGAAGAGGAAUUUGAGGGAAAGAGAAAAAGGAAGCCCCCCAAAAAGGCUGCAAAACGUCAGAUAUUCACAGAGGUAGAAACAGAGGAAAUAAAAACUUACUUUAGUGUAUAUCUAAAAAAUGGAAUUUGUCGGCGGAAACCGCAGGUUGAAGAUGCCAAACAGAAAAGUCGUAAAAAAAAUGGGCACAUUUGGAAAAGGUCAAGCGACAAGAUAAUUAAGAAAAUUUUUGCAAUGAAUCAUAAGAAAAAAAUAAAAACAUGUUGUUUACUACCGGUACUCGGAUGGAACAUUAUAAGAAUACCUUCGAGAGACAUUGAAAAGUUCAUGCAACAGUGACUUGGCAAAUAUGGGUGAUGUUUGUAUGCAAGUGGUAAUUUUUGCGUGAGCAUUUUAUUUGUUGAAUUGAAACUUUACUAUGUAUAUGUUUAAAGGUGGAAAAGAAUCUGGUAUAUUAUCAACCGUUAAAAAUGCUUAUACUAAAGCUUAGAUACAAUAUUUUCCUUUUUGCUUCAUUGAUGCUUUUGAA